rnacentral:lncRNA from 1 species
CUAAGACAAACAAGCCUAAUAAUCUAUUCUCUUUCUUCCCAAAUGAAUAGGAACUGAAUGGGAAUAAGUUUAUUUCAUUUGAAAUAAAUACCUCGAAGGCAUUAUUCUAACUUAAUUCUUCUCAGACUUUAAUGUGCAUGUCAAUUACCUGGGGAUCCUGUAAGUGCAAAUUCUAAUCCAGUAAAUUCUAAUCAGUAGGUCUAGAGAAGUGUCUUAGAUUUCAAGUUCCUAGCAAGCUCAAAGGCUUUGCUGUUGCUGCUUGUCUGGGGACAUUGGGUAACAAGUCUUCAACCCUUAAUUUUUGUCACAUGUUGUGGGAGAAAAGGGUGACUGCUGUUAUACAAGAGUGUUAAAUCAGAGGGAUUCUUUCUCCUGGUGACAUUUUGCAGCAAUGACAGGGAACCAUGCUUUUCAAGUCUGGCCCUGCUGGGGAAACUGACUUUGUUAAGUCAAUUAAAUGGAAGGAGAUUUUCCAGGUACUAACCAGGGAUGCAGACUGCUGGAAGCACUAAAAGUGAUUUGAUUGAAACCAGUUACCAAACAGAACAGCAGCCAAAUUGGCUUGAUUGGCAUAAGCAAUCAAAAAAUGAGAGCAAGCCGAAUGGGAAGAGAUGUUUAUCCUUUUUCUUUUGUGUUUAUUUUCUGCAGAUAGAUCAUAUGUUCUGCUGGACUAUUAAGGUAAAAGAUGAAUGUAGGCUCCCCACUUGAGCUUGGCAGACUCUGCCACGAUACAGCUUUGUCUGUGAGACAUAUUACUUUGUUUUUAACCUGUUGCCCAGGAAUCAUUUCUCAAGGGUGCCAGGAAUCAUUUCUCAAUCAUCAUAAAGCAGGAUGAUUUAGUGAGAUCAGAGUCACUGAGGAGAUCGUCAUGGGCUUUUGAGUGGGUAGUGUAGGCUAAUACAUUUUUCUUGGAAAUAACAACAUGAAUGAGUCACAGUUUGGUUCUCUUCUUUAAUAAUGUUUCUAGGUGCUCUCUCUUUGGAGAUCAACUGAUGUCUCUAGAAUUGUAAAUUUCUAUCCAGGGUCCAGACAUUCCACUAGAAAUAUCUGAGUGAAGUACCAACCUUUAUUGCUCUUUCUGAAAUUUUCCCAAGGUCUGUUCUGAUAAGUCUUUCAUUAUGGUCCAGGUCAGAUGACUGUUAAACUGUUUUGCACCUGGAAAUUAAGGGAAAGAGUUGCGGUGCAGUGGAAAAUGUAGGAACUCUACAGAGUUGCUUAGAAACCCCUAGUAAACUUGCACUAAAAGUAUAAUUAGCAAAUGGAAACUGUAAUACUCAGGCAACACCACAAUUGGCCUUCUGGAGUUGCCACUAAGGCAACAGUAGUUCAGUUACCGUUGAGCAAGACUGGACACUUUGACCACUAGAUAUGCAAAACUAUGGAAUUUUAAUCCUGGAAGAGACUUUAGAGAUGUUCUAACCCCUCCCACAGAUUUAAGAUGAGAAACUAAAUCUCAGAGAAUUUAUAAUUUGCCCCAAAUCAUCCUUCUGGUUGAAGAAAGAGCCAAUACUAGGACUUGGGUCUCCUGAUAUUUUAAUUAUCCACAAAUUGUUGAUUUACUAUGUAUCAGAUUCUAUGAUAAAUAUUUUAUUUUAUUAUCUCAUUUACUACUCAUAAAGCCAUAUAAAAAGCUACUGUUCAUUUGUUAUGCCAUUCAUACUUAUUAUAUGCCUACUAUGUAUCAACUACUGUCCCAGAUGCUGGGAAUACAACCAGAAUAACUGCAUUUAUAUUCUUAUAUUAUACCAAUAGACAAUGACGAAAUACACCAGCAAAUAUGAUCAUCAGACAGUGAUGAGUGCUAUGAUGAAAAUAAAAUAGACUAGUAUAAUGGAGGCUGCCUGGGGUGGAAGAGGAUGGUUUUAAAAUGAGGAGGUGACAUGUGGGCUGAGGGCUGAGUGAUAAAAAGUAUGUUUCAGGCAGAGGAAACAGCAGGUGCAAAGCCCCAAGGAGAGAAGGAGCUUGGUAUAUUCAAAGAAUUGGAAUCAAGUCAGGGUGGUCAGACCAUUUUAGUGAGGGUGAAAGUGAAAGAAGAUAAGAACCAUGAAGUGUCCUCAAGGUCAAGGGAAGGAGUUUGGAAAAGUGAAAGCCUUUGGCAGCUGUGUGUGUGUGUGUGUGUGUGUUAAAAAGCAGGGAAGUAGAAUGAUCCAGUUUAUGAUUAUUACUGUUCCUUUUCUAUCGCUUCCUCAUUUUACAAAUGAGAUACUAAGGUACACAGAGGUCCUGUGACUUGCCCAAGGUCAUUUAGUUAUUUAGUGGCAUAGCUGGUAUCAGUUCUGAAUUGAAAAACUCCAGAUCCCAUGCUGUAAUGUUCUCUUUUUUUCUGUAUUCAUGCCAUUCCUACAUUUAAAACAGUUCAGUGUUUUACUAGUACAUUAAAUGACUUUUUAAAAUUUUAAAUGCUUAAUCUAAUGUUUUUCCCCUGAAAAAUGGGCCAGGGGCCAUGUGCUUCACUGAAUUUUGUUUGUAAAAGAAUGAAAGAACUAUGACUUUCAUGAUUAAAAGUCUUCCAGCACUCAGCGGUAAUGAAUCCAACUAGGAUCCAUGAGGCUUUGGGUUCAAUCCCUGGCCUUGCUUCGUGGGUUAAGGAUCCAGUGUUGCCGUGAGCUGUGGUGUAAGUCACAGACACGGCUCGGAUCUGGCAUUGCUGUGGCUGUGGUGUAGGCCAGCAGGUAUAGCUCCGAUUUGAUUCCUAGCCUGGGAACCUCCAUA